rnacentral:tRNA from 1 species
GGGGGUAUAGUUCAGUGGUAGAGCACAUGCUUAGCAUGCACGAGGUCCUGGGUUCAAUCCCCAGUACCUCCA